GACGAACGCUGGCGGCGUGCUUAACACAUGCAAGUCGAACGGAAAGGCCUGCUUUCCCUUGUGGAUUGCGGGUACUCGAGUGGCGAACGGGUGAGUAACACGUGAGUGAUCUGCCCCCAACUUGGGUAUAAGCCUGGGAAACUGGGUCUAAUUCCCGAUCGGACUGCAGGGUGGUGCCUGUGGUGGAAAACGAUUUUCUAGUGGUUGGGGAUGAGCUCGCGGCCUAUCAGCUUGUUGGUGGGGUAAUGGCCUACCAAGGCGGCGACGGGUAGCCGGCCUGGGAGGGUGGACGGCCACAUUGGGACUGAGAUACGGCCCAGACUCCUACGGGAGGCAGCAGUGGGGAAUAUUGCACAAUGGGCGGAAGCCUGAUGCAGCGACGCCGCGUGGGGGAUGACGGCCUUCGGGUUGUAAACUCCUUUCGACCGCGAGGAAGCCACCUGGUUGGAAGGGUGGUGACGGUAGUGGUAGAAGAAGCACCGGCUAACUACGUG
rnacentral:rRNA from 1 species